AUAACACAUUCAAGUCGAACGGAGUUGUUUUGAUUAAUCCUUCGGGAAGCGUUGGGACAACUUAGUGGCGGACGGGUGAGUAACGCGUGAGCAACCUGCCCUUGCGUGGGGGAUAACGUUUGGAAACGACUGCUAAUACCGCAUAAUGUUAUUUGGGGGCAUCCCUGAAUAACCAAAGCUUUAUGUGCUGAAAGAUGGUCUCGCGUCUGAUUAGCUAGUUGGUGAGGUAACGGCUCACCAAGGCGACGAUCAGGAGCCGGUCUGAGAGGAUGAACGGCCACAUUGGGACUGAGAUACGGCCCAGACUCCUACGGGAGGCAGCAGUGGGGAAUAUUGGGCAAUGGGGGAAACCCUGACCCAGCAACGCCGCGUGAAGGAAGAAGGCCUUCGGGUUGUAAACUUCUUUUAGCAGGGACGAAGAACGUGACGGUACCUGCAGAAAAAGCAACGGCUAACUACGUGCCAGCAGCCGCCGUAACAC
rnacentral:rRNA from 1 species